rnacentral:rRNA from 1 species
GACGAACGCUGGCGGCGUGCCUAAUACAUGCAAGUUGAGCGCUGAAGGUUGGUACUUGUACCAACUGGAUGAGCAGCGAACGGGUGAGUAACGCGUGGGGAAUCUGCCUUUGAGCGGGGGACAACAUUUGGAAACGAAUGCUAAUACCGCAUAAAAACUUUAAACACAAGUUUUAAGUUUGAAAGAUGCAAUUGCAUCACUCAAAGAUGAUUCCGCGUUGUAUUAGCUAGUUGGUGAGGUAAAGGCUCACCAAGGCGAUGAUACAUAGCCGACCUGAGAGGGUGAUCGGCCACAUUGGGACUGAGACACGGCCCAAACUCCUACGGGAGGCAGCAGUAGGGAAUCUUCGGCAAUGGACGAAAGUCUGACCGAGCAACGCCGCGUGAGUGAAGAAGGGUUUCGGAUCGUAAAACUCUGUUGGUAGAGAAGAACGUUUGUGAGAGUGGAAAGCUCAUCAAGUGACGGUAACUACCCAGAAAGGGACGGCUAACUACGUG